rnacentral:rRNA from 1 species
CGGCGUGAGAGGUGAAAUUCUUGGAUCGCAGCAAGACGGACAACUGCGAAAGCAUUUGCCAAGAAUGUUUUCAUUAAUCAAGGACGAUAGUUAGAGGUUCGAAGGCGAUCAGAUACCGCCCUAGUUCUAACCGUAAACGAUGCCAACUAGCGAUCUGUCGGUGUUAAAAUUUGACUCGACAGGCAGCUUCCGGGAAACCAAAGUUUUCUGGUUCCGGGGGAAGUAUGGUUGCAAAGCUUAAACUUAAAGGAAUUGACGGAAGGGCACCACCAGGAGUGGAGCCUGCGGCUUAAUUUGACUCAACACGGGGAAACUCACCCGGCCAGGACACGAUAAGGAUUGACAGAUUGAUAGCUCUUUCUUGAUUUUGUGGGUGGUGGUGCAUGGCCGUUCUUAGUUGGUGGAGCGAUUUGUCUGGUUAAUUCCGAUAACGAACGAGACUCUAGCCUAUUAAAUAGACGAUAUGUUUCUAGCAUAGCGAGCUUCUUAGAGGGACAAGCAGCUUCUUAGCUGCACGAGAUUGAGCAAUAACAGGUCUGUGAUGCCCUUAGAUGUCCGGGGCUGCACGCGCGCUACAAUGAAGGUAGCAAUGCGCUUAUUAACCGUUUCUGGUAAGAAUUGGUAAACGCGAAAUAUUUUCGUGCUUGGGAUAGGGGAUUGAAAUUAUUGCCCUUAAACGAGGAAUUCCCAGUAAGUUCGAGUCAUCAGCUUGAGCUGAUUACGUCCCUGCCCUUUGUACACACCGCCCGUCGCUACUACCGAUUGGAAGAUUUAGUGAAUUCUUGGGACCGAAGUUGAAGGCGUGUAAAAGCGCUUUCGAUAUUUGGAAACAUGAAUAAACCAAACCUUCUAGAGGAAGU